rnacentral:rRNA from 1 species
GAUGAACGCUGGCGGCGUGCCUAAUACAUGCAAGUCGAGCGAACGGACGAGAAGCUUGCUUCUCUGAUGUUAGCGGCGGACGGGUGAGUAACACGUGGAUAACCUACCUAUAAGACUGGGAUAACUUCGGGAAACCGGAGCUAAUACCGGAUAAUAUUUUGAACCGCAUGGUUCAAAAGUGAAAGACGGUCUUGCUGUCACUUAUAGAUGGAUCCGCGCUGCAUUAGCUAGUUGGGAAGGUAACGGCUUACUAAGGCAACGAUGCAUAGACGAACGGAGAGGGUGAUCGGCCACCCUAGAACUGAGACACGGUCCAGACUCCUACGGGAGGCAGCAGUAGGGAAUCUUCCGCAAUGGGCGAAAGCCUGACGGAGCAACGCCGCGUGAGUGAUGAAGGUGUUCGGAUCGUAAAACUCUGUUAUUAGGGAAGAACAUAUGUGUAAGUAGCUGUGCACAUCUUGACGGUACCUACACAGAAAGCCACGGCUAACUACGUG